rnacentral:rRNA from 1 species
UGGGGAAUCUUGCGCAAUGGGCGAAAGCCUGACGCAGCCAUGCCGCGUGUAUGAUGAAGGUCUUAGGAUUGUAAAAUACUUUCACCGGUGAAGAUAAUGACUGUAGCCGGAGAAGAAGCCCCGGCUAACUUCGUGCCAGCAGCCGCGGUAAUACGAAGGGGGCUAGCGUUGCUCGGAAUUACUGGGCGUAAAGGGAGCGUAGGCGGACAUUUAAGUCAGAGGUGAAAUCCCGGAGCUUAACUUCGGAACUGCCUUUGAUACUGGGUGUCCUGAGUGUGAGAGAGGUAUGUGGAACUCCGAGUGUAGAGGUGAAAUUCGUAGAUAUUCGGAAGAACACCAGUGGCGAAGGCGACAUACUGGCUCAUUACUGACGCUGAGGCUCGAAAGCGUGGGGAGCAAACAGGAUUAGAUACCCCAGUAGUCCCUGAGCGGGCUGGCAAGGCGCAU